AUUGAACGCUGGCGGCAGGCUUAACACAUGCAAGUCGAGCGGAGAUGAGGUGCUUGCACCUUAUCUUAGCGGCGGACGGGUGAGUAAUGCUUAGGAAUCUGCCUAUUAGUGGGGGACAACAUUCCGAAAGGAAUGCUAAUACCGCAUACGCCCUACGGGGGAACGCAGGGGAUCUUCGGACCUUGCGCUAAUAGAUGAGCCUAAGUCGGAUUAGCUAGUUGGUGGGGUAAAGGCCUACCAAGGCGACGAUCUGUAGCGGGUCUGAGAGGAUGAUCCGCCACACUGGGACUGAGACACGGCCCAGACUCCUACGGGAGGCAGCAGUGGGGAAUAUUGGACAAUGGGCGGAAGCCUGAUCCAGCCAUGCCGCGUGUGUGAAGAAGGCCUUUUGGUUGUAAAGCACUUUAAGCGAGGAGGAGGCUACCUGGAUUAAUACUCUAGGAUAGUGGACGUUACUCGCAGAAUAAGCACCGGCUAACUCUGUGCCAGCCGCCGCCGUAA
rnacentral:rRNA from 1 species